UGCAAAAAGAGAAUCGAUUCGAAUGUAUAAAGAGCGAUGAUUUUUAAUAAAUCAAACACACACACAUACACACACAUAGAAAGAGAGAAAGAGAGAGAAAAAGAGAGAAAGGAGAGAGAGAGAGAGAGAGAGGCAAUAUUCGGUUCGGUUAAUACAUUAGACGCGUGGAGUCCGUACACGUCGGUCGUUCGGUCGUACGGUCGUUCGGUUAUUCGAUCGGUCGAUCGGUUUGGUUGGUUCUUCGGUCGGUCGGUCGGUCGGUCGGUCGGUCGGUCGGUCGGUCGAUCGGUCGGUCGGUCGGUUGGUCGGUCUGCAGAUCGAUGGCUCGUUUUACGAGGGAUUGUAUUUAAAUCACGUGUAUACAUUUUAAUACGAACGAUUGGAAGUAAAGAAGAAGGUAACGGGAAAGUUAAAGGAGAAAAAAAAAAUAAAAGAAAAUAGAAACGAAGAACGAGAGAUAAAAAUUGGAGAGUGAAAGAGAUAGACAGACAGAUAAAAAGACAAACAGAGAGACAGAUAGACACGGAUACAUAUGAGGGAGUUUGUUUAUAUCUAUGCGCGCGUGUAUAUGUUUUGAUACUUCAAUUUGUAUUCGACAUACUUCGAAUAUCUAUCUCGGAACCGUUAAAAUGGCGAAUCCGAGAAUAAGACGAACGAGAUGAUGCAUCAUAAGACGUCGACGGAGUUUAAGUUUAACACAUGUCGAGCGAAUAUGUUAUGGAACGAGAAGAAAGAAGGAAGGAAGGAAAGAAAAGAAAAGAAAAGAAAAUAGAAAGAUAAACGAGAAAAGAAAAGGAAAUAACAAAUACAACCAUGAUGAAAACCAUCCAACGGACUAUCCUGUUUGGAAUCAUAUCUUCAAUUCUAUUAGAUUCCAUUGUUGUGUUACUACAAGAAACGAAAUAGAUGGGUUAAAAGUUUAUAGAUGAUUUUCAAUAUCCCUUUCAAUAUAUAUUUCGAAACAUUUUAGAUUAAUUUUUAUUUCUUUUUCUAUUUUAUUUUAGAUUUGAAUAAAACCACUAACUUAGGAAUUUUUGGCUCGUCUGUACAUUUAUUCGAAAAAAAAAAAAAAAAACAAAAAAAAGAAAAAAGAAAAAAAAAAGAAAGAGAAAAAAUACACAUCUAUCUAUCACGAAUUGAAUUCGAAUCGAUAUCGAGUUGGAAAUUCGAGAUGACGAAAUCCACGACGAGUAGUCAGAAAGUCUCGUAGAAAUUGAUUUCGUGUCGAGACUUUAAAAAAAAGGAAUGAACGACGGACGAACGAUCCGUUUAAAAUUUUGUUGAAUUGAUCGUAAGAAAGGAAGAAAGAAACGAAAAAAAGUAAAAAAAAAAAAAAGAAAAAAAAAAAAAGAAAAAAAAGAACGAAUGUUCUUCGUUCGUGGCAAAGCUCAACGAUUGUUUCGCAAGUGAAACCAGACGAUGCCAGAGGGAAAGACGAGAAUAUAAGACAUAAUUAACGGAGCUUCUACCGCUGUUGAUUUAUCAAAUUUCCUUGAUUUAUCCGCGACAUUAUCCGUUUCUACAACUUUCUGUUUGCGCAAACUUCGCGUAUUGAGAAGCACACUUGAAACUCUUGAAAGUUCGUAAACUCUCUCUCUCUCUCUCUCUCUCUCUCUCCCUCUCUCUCUCUCUCUCUCCCUCUCUCCCUCUCCCUCUCUCUCUCUCUCUCUCUCUCUUUCUUUCUCUCUCUCUCUCAACGUUCCUUCCGAACAGAGGCUUCAACCCAUUUUACUCUUCCAAACUCCCUCUCGACGGAUCAAUACCGAGGAUAUAAUAAAGGUAAACAAGAAUACGAGAUGAAUACUCUACGUAUACACGUUUUACCCGAACGCUCGCAAGUAAAACGCCAAGUAGAAUGAGAAGGAACUGGUAGAUAAAUAAUACAAGAGAUGGUGCAAGC